rnacentral:rRNA from 1 species
GUCGAACGCGUUGGCCCAAUUGAUUGAUGGUGCUUGCACCUGAUUGAUUUUGGUCGCCAACGAGUGGCGGACGGGUGAGUAACACGUAGGUAACCUGCCCAGAAGCGGGGGACAACAUUUGGAAACAGAUGCUAAUACCGCAUAACANCGUUGUUCGCAUGAACAACGCUUAAAAGAUGGCUUCUCGCUAUCACUUCUGGAUGGACCUGCGGUGCAUUAGCUUGUUGGUGGGGUAACGGCCUACCAAGGCGAUGAUGCAUAGCCGAGUUGAGAGACUGAUCGGCCACAAUGGGACUGAGACACGGCCCAUACUCCUACGGGAGGCAGCAGUAGGGAAUCUUCCACAAUGGGCGCAAGCCUGAUGGAGCAACACCGCGUGAGUGAAGAAGGGUUUCGGCUCGUAAAGCUCUGUUGUUAAAGAAGAACACGUAUGAGAGUAACUGUUCAUNCGUUGACGGUAUUUAACCAGAAAGUCACGGCUAACUACGUGCCAGCAGCCGCGGUAAUACGUAGGUGGCAAGCGUUAUCCGGAUUUAUUGGGCGUAAAGAGAGUGCAGGCGGUUUUCUAAGUCUGAUGUGAAAGCCUUCGGCUUAACCGGAGAAGUGCAUCGGAAACUGGAUAACUUGAGUGCAGAAGAGGGUAGUGGAACUCCAUGUGUAGCGGUGGAAUGCGUAGAUAUAUGGAAGAACACCAGUGGCGAAGGCGGCUACCUGGUCUGCAACUGACGCUGAGACUCGAAAGCAUGGGUAGCGAACAGGAUUAGAUACCCUGGUAGUCCAUGCCGUAAACGAUGAGUGCUAGGUGUUGGAGGGUUUCCGCCCUUCAGUGCCGGAGCUAACGCAUUAAGCACUCCGCCUGGGGAGUACGACCGCAAGGUUGAAACUCAAAGGAAUUGACGGGGGCCCGCACAAGCGGUGGAGCAUGUGGUUUAAUUCGAAGCUACGCGAAGAACCUUACCAGGUCUUGACAUCUUGCGCCAACCCUAGAGAUAGGGCGUUUCCUUCGGGAACGCAAUGACAGGUGGUGCAUGGUCGUCGUCAGCUCGUGUCGUGAGAUGUUGGGUUAAGUCCCGCAACGAGCGCAACCCUUGUUACUAGUUGCCAGCAUUAAGUUGGGCACUCUAGUGAGACUGCCGGUGACAAACCGGAGGAAGGUGGGGACGACGUCAGAUCAUCAUGCCCCUUAUGACCUGGGCUACACACGUGCUACAAUGGACGGUACAACGAGUCGCGAACUCGCGAGGGCAAGCAAAUCUCUUAAAACCGUUCUCAGUUCGGACUGCAGGCUGCAACUCGCCUGCACGAAGUCGGAAUCGCUAGUAAUCGCGGAUCAGCAUGCCGCGGUGAAUACGUUCCCGGGCCUUGUACACACCGCCCGUCACACCAUGAGAGUUUGUAACACCCAAAGUCGGUGGGGUAACCUUUUAGGAGCCAGCCG